rnacentral:tRNA from 1 species
GGCUCAGUAGUAGAGCUCAUGUCUUUCACACAUGAGGCCCUGGGUUUGAUCUCCCAA